ACAAGGGACUCAUGAGCAACUAUCACAAGCUAUUAUUUUGUCUUGUGGACUAUAUGUAAACACAUCUGAUAUGUUAAAUAGCUUAUUCAGGACAGUAAGAAAUAAUAAUAAAAAAAUGUAAUUUUUAUGAUCCUAUUAAUUUGUAAUAGCCUUAUCUGCAAAACAUAACUUCAUAUCGUUUUAAAAUAACUCCUUAUUUACCUUUUUUUUUUUUUUUUUUUUUUUUUUUUUUUUAAAAGCUAUGCUAUGCAGAGGUUUAGGGAAGACAGAUGAGGCACGCGAGGAAUGAGAUAAGCUGUAAUUAAACGUAAAGAAUCCUCCAGGUGUUUCUAUCGCAAGGUCGAUGCAUGAAACGCUGCUGAUGAGCUGUGAACGUCCUGUGAACGUGUGCCUCCGCACCACACGCUAGGCCCAACAAUGGCGCGCGGUUAAAGGAAAACGCGACAGAUUCCUAGCUGAAAGGUGUUGUAACACCGUGCUCCGAAUCGAUGAAGCGCACCGUCGCCCAUCACAUAAUGAUAUAUGAGUGUACCUACGGGAUUACUGAGGCAACAACAGCACUGGGAGGGUCUAACGGACCGAUGAAAGCAACAAGAGAGCCGAGCCGUAUCACACAAGCAUGACAAACACGAAUGAAACCGUUGUGCCUGCCCUGAACCAGGACUCGAUUUCACUCUCAGAACGAUUUCACUCACAAGUGGCAGGGAUGACUGGCGCUUUCUCAAACCUGUGUCCUUGAAGUGCAAGAAUGCCCAGUUCCUAUGCUGUUUCACCUCCUAAAGCGAACCUGACGUCUAAUCAACACCUGCAACCUCCACACCCCGGCCAUGUGUCCAAGUGAGACUUCUGAAGUCGUGCCAAGCUCGCUCUCGCAGCGAGAGUUAAGGGAAAGGAGGGACUUUAAUCAAAGCUCCACAAAUAUGAAAUUAUUUUUUCCUCCCUGAGCAUUUUAUAGCCUGGCCAGUGCUUUCCGGCCCUCGUGUCUCUUUGAAUUGUAAGAUAGUUUUUUUUUUUUUCGUUCUCCUGUCGGUUGGAGAGCAAUUGUGCCUCUCAACACUAGCUUACAAUGUGUAUCUAGAGAGCCUUCACCUUAUAUUAGAUUUGCCUUCACAUUCUACAAAGAGGUGGGAGUACUGCACUGCCCGUUUCAGUUUUAGACAAUAAAUGCCCCAUGAAAUACAUACAGAUCCCCAGUAAUGACCGCCAUCCAUCUUGGCCCGCAUUUCAAUGGCUUGUGCAUUUACUGGGGCCUUUGUGUCUUCUUAUUGUUACACCGGCUGAUUCAGUCGUAGCGAUUUGAGCACUUGAUGCUCAGUCCUUCUGCCUUUAGAAUCUGCCUUAGAAUACAGAUACUUUCGAUCUGAUUUUCAAUAGCAUACCUCUAAUAUCUUUGUGCACACAAGAUGCCAUGAUAACCUCAAAACCAUUAUUCAUGCGGAAAAAAGCAUUACAGGACGAAAUGUGCGCUACCUCUGAAUGGUGUGAGAGCACAGUCAAAGACUUCUUAUUUCAUGUCAUGCACAAAAUUCUACAGUGGUUUUAUUUUAGAUACUAGGAAUUUAGCCUUAAAUAUCAACAGCCUCACUUCCUCCCUGAGCUCAGCUCUGCUGCACUCCUGCAUUCUCAUUAGGCUAUUGGGCCAUACUAAUUACAAUCAAUCUGAGGUGACUGCGUAUGUCCUUCAGAGUGGUGAGAAAUGCACGGCUGUGAGAUUUACGGAUGUUGCGACCCACAGUGUGGGUUCAGGUAAGACACCUCAGUCAUAAUAUAGAGUUUGUACCGUACUUAUGUAGAUUCAGUACAGUGUAAAAUACUAUAGCUUUUCCUGCCUUAUCUCAGUUUUAUGCCAGCUUUAUUAAGCUUUAGGAUGAGCACAUGUGCCUUGCAAAUAUCCGUUUAGUCCGAUUAGUCUUCAUAUUUUUUUUUUCUUUCUUUUAUUGAGGUGAGUGGGAGACCAUUUGGGAAGCAGUUCCGUAAUCAGGUUUCCCCCUUUAUCUUCCCAGUGAACUCUGAUAUUAGAAGUGUUAAAGCUAGCAGAUAGUGUCAGGCAGCAUGGUAUGGAAUUGGUUGGAGAUUUGAGAAGUGACCUUGCGUGACAGAUUUCCACAUCCUCAAGCAUCCUGUACAGAUGGGGGAAAGAAACAAAACAUAUUAACUGAGCAUUGCCAGAGCUGCUGAAUGAUGCAAUAUGGCCCCAUCAAAAGAGAUUUCAAAGGUCUUCAGAACAAGAGUAUUUGAGGCUCAUAAGACGAGAAAGGAUUACAAAAGGAUUUCUAAAGACUUCAGCCUCCAUCUGGCCACAUAGUGAGGCAGAUAGAAAUACAGAACUGUUGCUACUUUCCCUAAGAGUGGGCGUCCUGCAAAGAUCAGUUCAAAGGCACGACAUAAAAUCAGACAAGACACAAAGAACCCCGUGUAAAAACUGCCGCUGGUAGCUCUUGCGCUUGAUAACAUUGGUGUUUACCGAUGAUUUAUCGGUCUACCAUUAGAAGUUCUCUGAAGUGUUGUUUGGAUGAGUUACCAUGGAGGAAACUACUACUCUUCAAAACAUUACUGUUGACUCAUGCUGACCGAAGAUCACCUAGAGCAGUGCUGGAGCAGUGUUCUUUAUGAAAGAAGAGGCAAACAUCUUCCUGGUGUAUGUUUGCAGUGUUUGAAGAAAAGCAUGAUAGUGAUUCAAAACAAAUAAAGGUUAAGCUUUGCCAUCCGUAAUUUUAAUUUGUUCAUUAAAAAGUUAACUGAU